GCUGGGCAUGGUGGCACAUGCCUGUAAUCCCAGCUACUUGGGAGGCUGAGGCAGGAGGAUCGCUUGAGCCCAGGAGGCUUAGGUUGCAGUGAGCCAAGAUCGCACCAUUGCACUCUAGCCUGGGCAACAAGAGCAAAACUCUGUCUCAA
ensembl:misc_RNA Metazoa_SRP Metazoan signal recognition particle RNA